rnacentral:rRNA from 1 species
GAUGAACGCUGACAGAAUGCUUAACACAUGCAAGUCUACUUGAAUUUGGGUUUUUUAACUUAGAUUUGGGUGGCGGACGGGUGAGUAACGCGUAAAGAACUUGCCUCACAGUUAGGGACAACAUUUGGAAACGAAUGCUAAUACCUGAUAUUAUGAAUAUAAGGCAUCAUAUAAUUAUGAAAGCUAUAAGCGCUGUGAGAGAGCUUUGCGUCCCAUUAGCUAGUUGGAGAGGUAACGGCUCACCAAGGCGAUGAUGGGUAGCCGGCCUGAGAGGGUGAACGGCCACAAGGGGACUGAGACACGGCCCUUACUCCUACGGGAGGCAGCAGUGGGGAAUAUUGGACAAUGGACCAAGAGUCUGAUCCAGCAAUUCUGUGUGCACGAUGACGUUUUUCGGAAUGUAAAGUGCUUUCAGUUGGGAAGAAAAAAAUGACGGUACCAACAGAAGAAGUGACGGCUAAAUACGUG